UACGUAGGGUGCAAGCGUUGUCCGGAAUUAUUGGGCGUAAAGAGCUCGUAGGCGGUUUGUUGCGUCGGCUGUGAAAUCCCGAGGCUCAACCUCGGGUCUGCAGUCGAUACGAGCAAACUAGAGUGUUGCAGGGGAGACUGGAAUUCCUGGUGUAGCGGUGAAAUGCGCAGAUAUCAGGAGGAACACCGGUGGCGAAGGCGGGUCUCUGGGACGGUACUGACGCUGAGACGCGAAAGCGUGGGGAGCAAACAGG
rnacentral:rRNA from 1 species